AAUGCUUUAAAAUUCCUAGUAAUACAUUUUACAGUUCAAAGAAGGACAAAGUCAUAUCUAACAAAGAGUACUGUAUAUUGGUUCUCCCUUACCAUGAAAACCUUCUUGAUAUACCUUCUCUACUUAAGAAUUUUAAAAUCAAAAUUGUAUUUAAAAAACUUAGUAGAGUAAAAAAAAACUUCCAAUUAAAAAUUCCCCCCAAAAUAUUGAUGGCUGUGCAAGAUUCCCUUUAUAAAUGUAAUAAAAUUUACGGUCACUCUGGGAAAAGCCUUGAACUAAGACUACAUCAUAAAUAUAGCACUAGAAGUGGACAAGUCUAAUGCUCCAUUUACUCACGUGAGAGAUUUUUGACCAUCAAUUGGUUUUCAAAGGGCCGAGAAAGCUGUAUCAAGCAGGUCUAAGGUUGAAAUAUAAUUGAAUCGAGCUUCAUAAAAAACAGUUUUGAUUCUAAUAUGAAUAUUGGUUUAGGAUUAUACAAAUUAGAUUCGUUUAAAUUAAUAAAAUUUGGGAAGAAUUUAAGCUAUGACAAGUCCUCCACCAUCUCGACUGCAUCAUAAUAAGACUGACUGUGAGGUGAUAUCUUAGCCUUAUGUAGCUUCUGUUCUCUUAUUACAGAUCUUUGAUAAUGCGAGAAAUCACGAAAGUGCUUUAAAUUUCACUAAUUUUUCACAGUGGUGGUUCUGCAUGUUAUAUCACCUGUUAACUGUAAUAUUAUUGCAUAUAUGAAAAACCUCGCGUAAAAAGUUCUGUGCAUCUCUACCAUGGUCUCAAGUCCUCUUCAGCAGAUUACAGAGUAAUACACAUUUUGUAUAAUAGUUUGGGAAUGUACAGCUAUUAAUGAUAUAACUGAAGGUUCAUAUAAAAGAAAAGCCUAGAAGCACCAUUAAUCAGUUAAGAACUUAAACAUAUCAAAGGUACAGCUAUAAUCAGAUGUAAUAACCAGCUUUUUAUUAAAUAGUACUUCCCACAACCACGUUUAAUUGGGAAUUGCCACAUCAUUGCACCCUGUCUCCAAGUGGCUCGCUACCGCAACAAGAUGUCAUAUAAUUUAAAUAGAGCUUUGCCUUUUUAACGUGGACCACCAGUCCCAGAUGCUUACCAGAUUUCCCAGCCAAACUAACAUUUAUUUUGCUCACUUUUUUUUGUAUGCUGCUGAGGAGCACCUCGGACCGAGGUUGAAAUAUAGAGAACCAUUUCUUUUUGUUUUUGUCACUAUGCGAGUUGAUUUACUUUAUAGAAAAGUAUUCAUUGAACUUUGAUGUUCCACACAAUUAUGCAAAUAAAAACAUUACAGUGAAGCCUCACUUAUGGGGGAUAUGAUUGAGCAUCAGUGAUCUGAUAUUCAUUGAAACAACUCUUUUUACCAGACACAUUGGUAUUUUUUAUAUGAAAGUUAUAUUACCCAUGCCAUGGCAAACUUGUAUGGGUCAUUCAGCACAAGGAGUGGUGGCUUGAUCCUCUAUCCACUAAGAAUCCAACCAACAUUACUAACUGUACUGUCCUAGUUGUUUAUACGUAUUUUGAAAUGCAUAUUGCUUACAAAUUAGUCUUGCUAAUCUUAAAAUGAUGAGGUUAAGUUGUCCUUUUGACAUUUGGAGUGUGUAUUGGAGAGUUGGAAUGUGUAUUGAAUUGUGCAAUAGUGUUGGCAUGCAUGGGAGAAUGCAUUUACCAGUCAUUGCAGUAACUAAUCCACGGUGGCACAUGGCCUGGUGGCAAAAGUUCUCACUUCACAUGGUGAGAGUCCGGGUUCGAUUUCUGGCAAAGGGUGGAAAUAUUGGGCGUGUUUCCUUACACCUGUUAUCCAUGUUUAUCAUCAGUAAAACUGGGUACCUGGGUGUUAGUCGACUGGUGUGGGUCGCAUCCUGGGACAAAAUUUACCUAAUUUGCCCAAAAUGCUCUGCAUAACAAGCGGCUUUCUGUAUACUGUAGUAGAAGUGUCAUUGAUGUCAGCUAGGCUUGUAUACAUUGUACAUGUACUUGGAGAAAUAAAGAUAUUACUACCAAACACUUUUCUCAAGAGUGUCAGUGAUAACAAAUGUUGCUGUAAAUUUCUCUCCCAGUACUGAAUACCGUCGAGUUAGCUCCAAAUGUAGUCAUAGUCACCACUGAGGACUCCACACAGCAAAAGUGAUGACUGAUCAUAAGCAGGUCACAGUACAGUUGUACAGACAAUUCCAGUCCAAAGGAGACAAACUUAUGACUCGUGACAUUUCAGUCCAACUUGGACCAUUAACCCUUUCAGGGUCCACAGGCCCUCUCAGAGACUUGUUCUCAGGGUCCCCCCAAAUUUAAAAAAAAAAAAAAAAUUUCUGAUGAGAAGAUAGAGAAUCUUUUCCCGGUCAUAAUGACACCAAAAGUAUGAAAUUUGAUGGAAAACUUACGAAAUUAUGCUCUCGUGAAGUUAGCGGUCUCGACGAUGUUUACACAUCGGUGAUUUUGCUCACUUUGAGCCCUAUUUCCAGCCAAUUCCAGUGUAGUAGUCGACAAAAAUCAUAACUAUUUUGCUAGAACUCCAUUUUUUCUAUCGAAUGAGUACAAGAAACCACCCAUUUACCGAUUUCAACUAUCCAAUAAAGUGGUCAGAAUUUAGCAAUUUUGCUAAUUUCACACAAAUUUCAAAAGAUGCCAAUUUCCAAGUAGGGUCCAGAAUAAACAAGAAAGACAUUCCUGGCACUAAAAUAACAUUUCCUCUGUUCAUUAGUCACGUCCCCACGCCCCUCUUACAUUCUUUUGCUUUCCAUUAUGUAUUUUUAUUCUCACAAAAAAUAGAAGAUUUGCUGUUAUGCAGACUACUGCAUUAGUGUAGAAAUGGUAUAAAUAAUAUCGGCGCACUUGUGAAAGACUUACCAGUUGACGUGUAUUGGACGCUUAGCAUGAUUUCUUUACUUUUGAGCUUUGGUAAAAAUCGAACAUUUUUGCUACUUUGAGCUCAAUUUCAAGGUACUUUUCAUUGUAAAACCAGUCAAAAUCAUCUCAAUUUCUGUAAUAUGUCUUCCAUUCUAUAAAAUGAGACCAAGAAAACUAGAAUACAACAAUAAAUACCAUACGAAAAUACAGUGCAAAGUUGCGGUUUUAAUCCAAAAACACGGUCAGUUUUUUUUUCUCAUUACGCACUGUGUGCUGCAGGAUUUUUUUUUUUAUACUGUGGACACUGACCACAUAGACCCAUUCUUUCAUAUGUAGGCCUACCAUCUUUCACUAGAUUUGAAGGUGCUAUAAUUUUUGCGUACUAGUACGUCGAGGACCCUGGCACGUAAGCCGUACUAGUACGGCCGAAACCCUGAAGGGGUUAACUAUUCAUGCCUGUGACUAGUGAAUGGUCCAAAUUGGACCAAAAUGUCAUAAGUUUGUUUCCUAUGUGCUGGUUAUUUGUGUAUUGUUCCAGUCAUGGUAUUGUGCCUUUUUGUUCUUCAAUACCAGUGUGUGUGUCAUUGUGUGAUGACGUGUGGUGUAAGGUGGCGCCCUCCACACCACUCCUGGAAAUGGAAUGAAGGCCUCUUGAUCCAGGGAAUUGGAACUACCCUCCACUUGGAUCAAACCUGAUUAUCUCCAGAUGCUGUUUGAUCCCAAGUGAUUGGUCUGCUGGUCGUGGAUUAGCUCACAGCAAGAAUGAGAGACCUGAAAUUUCUGGUGUUGUACAACCUGAUUCCAACUAGUAAGUGUCUCGUCAUGGCUGCUUCCAAGUCCCUUACAGCACCUUCAUCACUGCGAGUUGGCGGUGCAACUGUAGCAGUAGGUGAUGAUUCUAAAGGUGUGGUGGUCAUCAUUGGUGUGGCUCUGGCAUGAGGUGUGCCUGGAGUUGAUACUGGUGGCUCAGAAACACGACCAGGGGAUGGUGCUCCUUCACAACCACCUCCCGAGUCCUCUGUAACGUCAGCAUUCCCCAUCGGAGUCAACAGGCCGCCAGGGGCCUGCAACACAAGUUUUAUCAGACAAAAGUUUUUAAAAUAAUGUUUAAUUAUAUUGUGAAUAAUAUAUUUACUUAAUUAUUUUGUGUACACAAGCUAUAUUUCAGACUGAAUAAUUUGUGCACAAUAAGAACUGUGAAAGAUACUCCUAAUAUGUCACAAAAAAGUUAGUCUGUUAGUAUAUUAGUAAUCACCAGGCAUGGAUUAGCAAGGAUUAGUAAUACAGUAAAUAUCUUACAAACUACAAAGCAUAUUAGAUUAAGCUUAGAGAUGCAACCAAUUUUACCCUUGUAAACCACUUCCUAAGGCAUUUUUUAACAUUGCAUAUUUUCUAUGUUGUAUCUUCUGAAAAUAUAUAAAGAAUUUCCACACAAAAAUGUCAGCCAGGCAUAGUUUAUUUUAUUUUACCAAGAUGUGUUACUAAACGAUAAUAGAACAAUCAGAAGUGUAUUAAAGAAUAAAUGCAUUACACAUU